GGGGUUGGUAAUCAUCCGAGCAAUGAGUCGGAUAGAAGCCGAUAAGAUAAUGUCCCCCUAGUUCAGUCUCUUGGAUUUUUCUUUUUUUGAUGUUCCAGGUGAUCUUGGUGAGUCGUUAGUAGGUACUAGGUUAUAACCCGAGAAGAGGAAGAUCGGGUCGAACGGUGGAUAACCUCCAUAACAAUUUCUCAUUUGAGAUUUACGUUGGGGGU
rnacentral:lncRNA from 1 species